rnacentral:rRNA from 1 species
GGUUAAGCGACUAAGCGUACACGGUGGAUGCCCUGGCAGUCAGAGGCGAUGAAGGACGUGCUAAUCUGCGAAAAGCGUCGGUAAGGUGAUAUGAACCGUUAUAACCGGCGAUGUCCGAAUGGGGAAACCCAGUGCAAUUCGUUGCACUAUCGUUAACUGAAUACAUAGGUUAACGAGGCGAACCGGGGGAACUGAAACAUCUAAGUACCCCGAGGAAAAGAAAUCAACCGAGAUUCCCCCAGUAGCGGCGAGCGAACGGGGAGCAGCCCAGAGUCUGAAUCAGCUUGUGUGUUAGUGGAACGGUCUGGAAAGUCCGACGGUACAGGGUGAUAGUCCCGUACACCAAAAUGCACAGGCUGUGAACUCGAAGAGUAGGGCGGGACACGUGGUAUCCUGUCUGAAUAUGGGGGGACCAUCCUCCAAGGCUAAAUACUCCUGACUGACCGAUAGUGAACCAGUACCGUGAGGGAAAGGCGAAAAGAACCCCGGCGAGGGGAGUGAAAAAGAACCUGAAACCGUGUACGUACAAGCAGUGGGAGCACCUUCGGGUGUGACUGCGUACCUUUUGUAUAAUGGGUCAGCGACUUAUAUUCUGUAGCAAGGUUAACCGUAUAGGGGAGCCGCAGGGAAACCGAGUCUUAACUGGGCGUUAAGUUGCAGGGUAUAGACCCGAAACCCGGUGAUCUAGCCAUGGGCAGGUUGAAGGUUGGGUAACACUAACUGGAGGACCGAACCGACUAAUGUUGAAAAAUUAGCGGAUGACUUGUGGCUGGGGGUGAAAGGCCAAUCAAACCGGGAGAUAGCUGGUUCUCCCCGAAAGCUAUUUAGGUAGCGCCUCGUGAACUCAUCUUCGGGGGUAGAGCACUGUUUCGGCUAGGGGGUCAUCCCGACUUACCAACCCGAUGCAAACUACGAAUACCGAAGAAUGUUAUCACGGGAGACACACGGCGGGUGCUAACGUCCGUCGUGAAGAGGGAAACAACCCAGACCGCCAGCUAAGGUCCCAAAGUCAUGGUUAAGUGGGAAACGAUGUGGGAAGGCACAGACAGCCAGGAUGUUGGCUUAGAAGCAGCCAUCAUUUAAAGAAAGCGUAAUAGCUCACUGGUCGAGUCGGCCUGCGCGGAAGAUGUAACGGGGCUAAACCAUGCACCGAAGCUGCGGCAGCGACACUAUGUGUUGUUGGGUAGGGGAGCGUUCUGUAAGCCUGCGAAGGUGACCUGUGAGGGUUGCUGGAGGUAUCAGAAGUGCGAAUGCUGACAUAAGUAACGAUAAAGCGGGUGAAAAGCCCGCUCGCCGGAAGACCAAGGGUUCCUGUCCAACGUUAAUCGGGGCAGGGUGAGUCGACCCCUAAGGCGAGGCCGAAAGGCGUAGUCGAUGGGAAACAGGUUAAUAUUCCUGUACUUGGUGUUACUGCGAAGGGGGGACGGAGAAGGCUAUGUUAGCCGGGCGACGGUUGUCCCGGUUUAAGCAUGUAGGCUGGUUGUCCAGGCAAAUCCGGAUAAUCAAGGCUGAGGUGUGAUGACGAGGUACUACGGUGCUGAAGUAACAAAUGCCCUGCUUCCAGGAAAAGCCUCUAAGCAUCAGGUAACAUCAAAUCGUACCCCAAACCGACACAGGUGGUCAGGUAGAGAAUACCAAGGCGCUUGAGAGAACUCGGGUGAAGGAACUAGGCAAAAUGGUGCCGUAACUUCGGGAGAAGGCACGCUGGUGUGUAGGUGAAGUCCCUGCGGAUGGAGCUGAGACCAGUCGAAGAUACCAGCUGGCUGCAACUGUUUAUUAAAAACACAGCACUGUGCAAACACGAAAGUGGACGUAUACGGUGUGACGCCUGCCCGGUGCCGGAAGGUUAAUUGAUGGGGUUAUCCGUAAGGAGAAGCUCUUGAUCGAAGCCCCGGUAAACGGCGGCCGUAACUAUAACGGUCCUAAGGUAGCGAAAUUCCUUGUCGGGUAAGUUCCGACCUGCACGAAUGGCGUAAUGAUGGCCAGGCUGUCUCCACCCGAGACUCAGUGAAAUUGAACUCGCUGUGAAGAUGCAGUGUACCCGCGGCAAGACGGAAAGACCCCGUGAACCUUUACUAUAGCUUGACACUGAACAUUGAGCCUUGAUGUGUAGGAUAGGUGGGAGGCUUUGAAGCGUGGACGCCAGUCUGCGUGGAGCCAACCUUGAAAUACCACCCUUUAAUGUUUGAUGUUCUAACGUUGGCCCCUGACCGGGGUUGCGGACAGUGUCUGGUGGGUAGUUUGACUGGGGCGGUCUCCUCCCAAAGCGUAACGGAGGAGCACGAAGGUUAGCUAAUCCUGGUCGGACAUCAGGAGGUUAGUGCAAUGGCAUAAGCUAGCUUGACUGCGAGCGUGACGGCGCGAGCAGGUGCGAAAGCAGGUCAUAGUGAUCCGGUGGUUCUGAAUGGAAGGGCCAUCGCUCAACGGAUAAAAGGUACUCCGGGGAUAACAGGCUGAUACCGCCCAAGAGUUCAUAUCGACGGCGGUGUUUGGCACCUCGAUGUCGGCUCAUCACAUCCUGGGGCUGAAGUAGGUCCCAAGGGUAUGGCUGUUCGCCAUUUAAAGUGGUACGCGAGCUGGGUUUAGAACGUCGUGAGACAGUUCGGUCCCUAUCUGCCGUGGGCGCUGGAGAAUUGAGGGGGGCUGCUCCUAGUACGAGAGGACCGGAGUGGACGCAUCACUGGUGUUCGGGUUGUCAUGCCAAUGGCACUGCCCGGUAGCUAAAUGCGGAAGAGAUAAGUGCUGAAAGCAUCUAAGCACGAAACUUGCCCCGAGAUGAGUUCUCCCUGAGACUUUAAGUCUCCUGAAGGAACGUUAAAGACGAUGACGUUGAUAGGCCGGGUGUGUAAGCGCAGCGAUGCGUUGAGCUAACCGGUACUAAUGAACCGUGAGGCUUAACCUU